CUGAAACCGUGCGCUUACAAGCGGUCGGAGCCCUUUAGUGGGGUGACGGCGUGCCUUUUGCAUAAUGAGCCUACGAGUUGUCGUUGUUGGCAAGGUUAACCCGUUCAGCGGGGUAGCCGGAGCGAAAGCGAGUCUUAACAGGGCGCAUAGUCAGGGGAGGUAGACGCGAAACUUGGUGAUCUACCCAUGACCAGGUUGAAGUUGCGGUAACACGCAAUGGAGGACCGAACCAGUAGACGUUGAAAAGUCUUUGGAUGAGUUGUGGGUAGGGGUGAAAGGCCAAUCAAACUGAGAAAUAGCUCGUACUCUCCGAAAUGUUUUUAGGAACAGCCUCGGAGGAUGUCUGCUAGAGGUAGAGCUACCAAUAGGACUAGGGGGAGUCAAAUCCUACCAAAUCCUGAUGAACUCCGAAUGCCGUAAGAUAUACUCUGCAGUGAGGGCAUGGGUGCUAAGGUCCAUGUCCGAGAGGGAAAGAACCCAGAUCUACAGCUAAGGUCCCAAAGUGUAUGCUAAG
rnacentral:rRNA from 1 species